GGUGAGAUGGCCGAGCGGUCCAAGGCGCCAGACUAAGGUGGUAAAUGAUUCGCACCAGUACUUAUCUGGUCUCUUCGGGGGCGGGAGUUCGAAUCUCCCUCUCAUCA